ensembl:misc_RNA
CAGAAACUGUUCCUUCCCUUCUUCAGCACCCACUUCCCUAGCUGCCUCAGGUGUCCACAGUAGGGAGAGAAGCCUCUCAGAAGGAAGAGUUGCAACCACAGGGAGUUGGAAAGAGAAGCUUCUCUAAGUGCUGGAUUAUCAAGAUAAAGGAAAGCAUGUGAAAUUGGGGCUUAAGAUCUCAGGACAUGUUCCCGACAUGG